CAAGUUUUGUUUCGUGUUGAUG
rnacentral:siRNA from 1 species